CACAGCCUGCGUUUGAUCCCAACAGAGGUCUGUUUCAGGUAGCCAGCUCAGCGUUGACUCAGCCUUCCAUCUUUCCAAGAUUGGUAAAAUAAGUAUCCAGCAGCUGGGAGUCAAGUGUAGA